rnacentral:lncRNA from 1 species
CAGAGGUCCAGGACCUAGUAUAUCUCAUCCUGGGAUGAGAUAAAAGUGAGAGGAGGCUAGUCCUGUGGGAUUAUUCUUAACAUUUCCACCAGAAGUUUCUACUACUUGAGUUCUCCCUCAUCGUGUGACCCUAUUCACCACACCAGUGAAUAAGCUUCCUCAGAAACAUGUCCUGGUUUGUGCAUGAAUUUCCCUGAUUUAUACCUGGAAGCCUCCAAUCUGGACUAGACAUCCUUAGUUGUAAUGGACUCUCUGGUUGAUGUCACCCCAACUUCCCAGGCUUCUAUCAAUGACCUCUACUUUUUAUUAAUGUUACCAUGCGUCUACUUGGUUUGUCAUACUUUCUGAAGUACUAGAACUUGACGGAGCUGGGUAUGCACUAACAUGUUAUACUUGUCCUUGUGUGGCUGCUUAUUGAGGCUGUAGGUCUGCCGUUUGGUAGAAUACAAUUAACAAGAUCGUAGAAUAGGGGAAAGAACACAUGGGUAAAGCACCCAGUAACCAGUCAUGCAGAGGCUUAGUGAUGUAAGAACUCACACCAUAAUCUGGUUAAUUUUUUACUUUUUUGAGACAGGGUCUUGCUCUGUUGCCCAGGCUGGAGUGCAGUGGCUUGAUGAUGGCUUACUGCAGCCUCAAACUCCUGGGUUCAAGCAAUCCUUCUGCCAUAGCCUCCUGAAUAGCUGGGACCACAGUUACAUGUUACCAUGCCUGGUUAAUUUUUUAUUUUCACUUUUUGUAGAGACAGGGAUCUCUCUAUGUUGCCCAGGCUGGUCUUGAAUUCCUGGACUCAAGUGAUCCUCCCACCUUGGCUUCCCAAAGUGCCAGGAUUACAGGCAUGAGCCACCACGCCUGGCUGGUUAAUUUUUACAAAUGAAAA